rnacentral:rRNA from 1 species
UACGUAGGUGGCAAGCGUUGUCCGGAUUUAUUGGGUUUAAAGGGUGCGUAGGCGGCUUAUUAAGUCAGUGGUGAAAUACUCUAGCUCAACUAGAGGGGUGCCAUUGAUACUGAUGAGCUUGAGUACAGAUGAGGUAGGCGGAAUUGACGGUGUAGCGGUGAAAUGCUUAGAUAUCGUCAAGAACACCUAUAGCGAAGGCAGCUUACUAGGCUGUAACUGACGCUGAGGCGCGAAAGUGUGGGGAUCAAACAGG